GAGACACUUGCACACACACACGAACACAAACACAUACAAUCACAUUUAUUUAUAAACCUAUACAUAUAAAAGCGGAUUAAGCAACUUUAAUAAUGAACAUCGUAUUUAUGUGUGUGCAUUCCCUUAUAUCUGUGUGAAUAUAUGAGUAUAUUUGUUUGUGUGUAUGUGUGUGCAUUAGGAAGGGCAUCCAGCUCUAGAAACCAUGCCAAAUCUGGCAGUAACACUGGACACAUUUCCCCUUGCUUGCAAGCACCUAUCAAGCCAUUCAACCCAUGUUAACAUGGAAAACAGAUACUAUUAAAUGAUAUUGAACUAUUUAUGUACCGGAUUUCUGAAUUGAAAAUCAAAAUGGGCAAAACCCAACACUACCACCACCUGUAACAGCUCCAUAAUUCCCAGCAGCAAUGUACCAAUAAAUAAAUAAUGAAAUAAAACUAUGUAUUAUUUACAUAUGA